CCCUGGAUUAGGGAGGGACGGCGUUUAUUACCCCGGAUUAGCGAGGGACGGCGUUUAUUACCCCGGAUUAGCGAGGGACGGCGUUUAUUACCCCGGAUUAGGGAGGGACGGCGUUUAUUACCCCGGAUUAGCGAGGACGGCGUUUAUUACCCCGGAUUAGCGAGGAUGGCGUUUAUUACCCCGGAUUAGCGAGGGACGGUGUUUAUUACCCAGGAUUAGCGAGGGACGGCGUUUAUUACCCAGGAUUAGCGAGGGACGGCGUUUAUUACCCAGGAUUAGCGAGGGACGGCGUUUAUUACCCAGGAUUAGCGAGGGACGGCGUUUAUUACCCAGGAUUAGCGAG